UGGAACAAUACGAACUAACCAGUACCC
rnacentral:misc_RNA from 1 species